CCUACGGGUGGCAGCAGUGGGGAAUAUUGCACAAUGGGGGAAACCCUGAUGCAGCGACGCCGCGUGAGUGAAGAAGUAAUUCGUUAUGUAAAGCUCUAUCAGCAGGGAAGAAAAUGACGGUACCUGAGUAAGAAGCCCCGGCUAACUACGUGCCAGCAGCCGCGGUAAUACGUAGGGGGCAAGCGUUAUCCGGAUUUACUGGGUGUAAAGGGAGCGUAGACGGUGCUGCAAGUCUGAAGUGAAAGGCCGGAGCUCAACUGCGGGACUGCUUUGGAAACUGGCUGACUAGAGUGCAGGAGGGGUAAGCGGAAUUCCUGGUGUAGCGGUGAAAUGCGUAGAUAUUAGGAGGAACACCAGUGGCGAAGGCGGCUUACUGGACUGUAACUGACGUUGAGGCUCGAAAGCGUGGGGAGCAAACAGGAUUAGAUACCCGAGUAGUC
rnacentral:rRNA from 1 species